rnacentral:rRNA from 1 species
GAUGAACGCUAGCUACAGGCUUAACACAUGCAAGUCGAGGGGCAGCAUGUUGGUUGCUUGCAACCAAUGAUGGCGACCGGCGCACGGGUGAGUAACGCGUAUCCAACCUUCCCCUUAGUAGGGCAUAGCCCGGCGAAAGUCGGAUUAAUACCCUAUGUUCUUCGUAGAUGACAUCUGAAAUGAAGCAAAGAUUUAUCGCUAAGGGAUGGGGAUGCGUCUGAUUAGGCAGUCGGCGGGGUAACGGCCCACCGAGCCGACGAUCAGUAGGGGUUCUGAGAGGAAGGUCCCCCACAUUGGAACUGAGACACGGUCCAAACUCCUACGGGAGGCAGCAGUGAGGAAUAUUGGUCAAUGGGCGAGAGCCUGAACCAGCCAAGUAGCGUGCAGGAAGACGGCCCUAUGGGUUGUAAACUGCUUUUAUGCGGGGAUAAAGUCGCCUACGUGUAGGUGUUUGUAGGUACUGCAUGAAUAAGGACCGGCUAAUUCCGUGCCAGCCGCCGCUUAAUAC